rnacentral:lncRNA from 1 species
AGGAGCUGUGGGUUCGGCUGACUUGACAAUGGGCCCGGGAAAUCCCAGUAUGGCUAUUAAUAUGCCCUCCUAUAAUUUGUAACAUUAACAUUGCUGAAGGUACAGAAAAGGACAUUGAAAUGAAGAUGUCAAAACUGCUGACUUAGUUAGUUUUAUUUAACUCUACAUUCCAUUUCAACACUGCUAUUUCCUUGAUGCUGUGGAACAUUUAAAAGGUCUUCUUUCAGCCCCUGUCAAGCAGGCCUAUUAGGAAGUGAGUAAAUUUAAUAAACACACAACUGCAGUAAGUAUGCAUCACCUAAUUUGCAUGUCUGU